CGCACGGAAUAAGACAUGUAGUAAUACUUGUUUUAUUUAGUGGCGCACGGGUGAGUAACACGUGAAUUACAUGCCCUAUAGUGGGGAAUAGCCCAGGGAAACUUGGAUUAAUACCCCAUAGUCUCGCAAGAGUAAAGGUGGCCCCGACUUGUCGGGGCUGUCGCUAUAGGAUUGGUUCGCGCCCUAUCAGCUUGUUGGUGAGGUAACGGCUCACCAAGGCAUUGACGGGUACCUGGUCUGAGAGGACGAUCAGGCACACUGGAACUGAGACACGGUCCAGACACCUACGGGUGGCAGCAGUCGAGAAUAAUUCACAAUGGGGGCAACCCUGAUGGUGCAACGCCGCGUGGAGGAUGACGGUCUUCGGAUUGUAAACUCCUGUCAUCUGGGAGAAAGACCUGGGAGUUAAUAGCUCACAGGGUUGAUAGUACCAGAAGAGGAAGGGACGGCUAACUUCGUGCCAGCAGCCGCGGUAAUACGAAGGUCCCGAGCGUUGUUCGGAAUCACUGGGCGUAAAGGGAGCGUAGGCGGCGCGGUAAGUCGGAUGUGAAAUCCCGGGGCUCAACCCCGGAACUGCAUCUGAUACUGCCGUGCUAGAGUAAUGGAGAGGUAGCUGGAAUUAUCGGUGUAGCAGUGAAAUGCGUAGAUAUCGAUAGGAACACUCGUGGCGAAAGCGAGCUACUGGACAUUUACUGACGCUGAGGCUCGAAGGCUAGGGGAGCGAAAGGGAUUAGAUACCCCUGUAGUCCUAGCAGUAAACGGUGCACGCUUGGUGUGAGGGGAAUCGACCCCCCUUGUGCCGGAGCUAACGCGUUAAGCGUGCCGCCUGGGAAGUA
rnacentral:rRNA from 1 species